rnacentral:tRNA from 1 species
AAUUAAAGUGGCAGAUAUUAGUGCAAUAAAGUUAAGUUUUAUAUAUGAGUUUAUACUCCUUUAAUUA